UGGGGAAUUUUGGACAAUGGGCAAAGCCUGAUCCAGCAAUGCCGCGUGUGUGAAGAAGGCCUUCGGGUUGUAAAGCACUUUUGUCCGGAAAGAAAUCCUUGGCUCUAAUACAGUCGGGGGAUGACGGUACCGGAAGAAUAAGCACCGGCUAACUACGUGCCAGCAGCCGCGGUAAUACGUAGGGUGCAAGCGUUAAUCGGAAUUACUGGGCGUAAAGCGUGCGCAGGCGGUUUGCUAAGACCGAUGUGAAAUCCCCGGGCUCAACCUGGGAACUGCAUUGGUGACUGGCAGGCUAGAGUAUGGCAGAGGGGGGUAGAAUUCCACGUGUAGCAGUGAAAUGCGUAGAGAUGUGGAGGAAUACCGAUGGCGAAGGCAGCCCCC
rnacentral:rRNA from 1 species